GAGUUUGAUCUUGGCUCAGAACGAACGCUGGCGGCAUGCCUAACACAUGCAAGUCGAACGGCAGCACGGGGGCAACCCUGGUGGCGAGUGGCGAACGGGUGAGUAAUACAUCGGAACGUAUCCUUAAGUGGGGGAUAACGCACCGAAAGGUGUGCUAAUACCGCAUAAUCUCCAAGGAGAAAAGCAGGGGAUCGCAAGACCUUGCGCUUUUGGAGCGGCCGAUGUCUGAUUAGCUAGUUGGUGAGGUAAAGGCUUACCAAGGCGUCGAUCAGUAGCUGGUCUGAGAGGACGACCAGCCACACUGGGACUGAGACACGGCCCAGACUCCUACGGGAGGCAGCAGUGGGGAAUUUUGGACAAUGGGGGAAACCCUGAUCCAGCCAUGCCGCGUGAGUGAAGAAGGCCUUCGGUUGUAAG
rnacentral:rRNA from 1 species